rnacentral:rRNA from 1 species
GUAGGGAAUCUUCCACAAUGGGCGAAAGCCUGAUGGAGCAACGCCGCGUGGGUGAAGAAGGUCUUCGGAUCGUAAAACCCUGUUGUUAGAGAAGAAAGUGCGUGAGAGUAACUGUUCACGUUUCGACGGUAUCUAACCAGAAAGCCACGGCUAACUACGUGCCAGCAGCCGCGGUAAUACGUAGGUGGCAAGCGUUAUCCGGAUUUAUUGGGCGUAAAGGGAACGCAGGCGGUCUUUUAAGUCUGAUGUGAAAGCCUUCGGCUUAACCGGAGUAGUGCAUUGGAAACUGGGAGACUUGAGUGCAGAAGAGGAGAGUGGAACUCCAUGUGUAGCGGUGAAAUGCGUAGAUAUAUGGAAGAACACCAGUGGCGAAAGCGGCUCUCUGGUCUGUAACUGACGCUGAGGUUCGAAAGCGUGGGUAGCAAACAGGA